rnacentral:rRNA from 1 species
UAAUACCGCAUACAGUCCUGAUUUUGCGGAAUCGGGAUGAAAGGUGGGGACUCUUUAAGAGCCUACCACUCAAGGAGGGGCCCGCGUCCGAUUAGCUAGUUGGUGGGGUAACGGCCUACCAAGGCGACGAUCGGUAGCCGGCCUGAGAGGGUGAUCGGCCACAAUGGGACUGAGACACGGCCCAUACUCCUACNGGAGGCAGCAGUGGGGAAUAUUGGACAAUGGGCGAAAGCCUGAUCCAGCGACGCCGCGUAGGCGAAGAAGCUCUUCGGAGUGUAAAGCCUUGUCACCUGUGACGAAGGUGUUUACUUCGAAUAGGGGUAAACGCUUGACGGUAGCAGGAGAGGAAGCCCCGGCUAACUCCGUGCCAGCAGCCGCGGUAACACGGAGGGGGCGAGCGUUAUUCGGAAUUACUGGGCGUAAAGGGUACGUAGGCGGUCUGAUAAGUGUGGAGUGAAAUGCCUGGGCUCAACCUAGGACUUGCUCUGCAUACUGUCAGGCUUGAGUACGGGAGAGGCUGGUGGAAUUCCUGGUGUAGGGGUGAAAUCCGUANAUAUCAGGAGGAACACCGUUGGAGAAGUC